UAAGUGAAGAGUUUGAUCCUGGCUCAGAGUGAACGCUGGCGGUAGGCCUAACACAUGCAAGUCGAACGGCAGCACAGGAGAGCUUGCUCUCUGGGUGGCGAGUGGCGGACGGGUGAGGAAUACAUCGGAAUCUACUCUGUCGUGGGGGAUAACGUAGGGAAACUUACGCUAAUACCGCAUACGACCUACGGGUGAAAGCAGGGGACCUUCGGGCCUUGCGCGAUUGAAUGAGCCGAUGUCGGAUUAGCUAGUUGGCGGGGUAAAGGCCCACCAAGGCGACGAUCCGUAGCUGGUCUGAGAGGAUGAUCAGCCACAC
rnacentral:rRNA from 1 species